rnacentral:rRNA from 1 species
CCUGGCGGCAAUAGCGCAGUGGAACCACCUGACCCCAUGCCGAACUCAGAAGUGAAACGCUGUAGCGCCGAUGGUAGUGUGGCAUUCGC